GACGGACGCUGGCGGCGUGCUUAACACAUGCAAGUCGAACGGAAAGGCCCUGCUUUCGUGGGAUGCUCGAGUGGCGAACGGGUGAGUAACACGUGAGUAACCUGCCCUUGACUUUGGUAUAACUUCAGGAAACUGGGGCUAACACCGGAUAGGAGCUCCUGCUGCAUGGUGGGGGUUGGAAAGUUUCGGCGGUUGGGGAUGGACUCGCGGCUUAUCAGCUUGUUGGGGGGGUAGUGGCUUACCAAGGCUUUGACGGGUAGCCGGCCUGAGAGGGUGACCGGCCACAUUGGGACUGAGAUACGGCCCAGACUCCUACGGGAGGCAGCAGUGGGGAAUAUUGCACAAUGGGCGGAAGCCUGAUGCAGCAACGCCGCGUGCGGGAUGACGGCCUUCGGGUUGUAAACCGCUUGCGCCUGUGACGAAGCGUGAGUGACGGUAAUUGGUAAAGAAGCACCGGCUAACUACGUG
rnacentral:rRNA from 1 species